UAAAUUAUCAGGAAAUUUUAAUUUGAAAGUGAACUAAUCCUUUAACAGUGCUAAUGUCAUGAGUCUGAUGCAGGACAUGAAUUAAAAAUGUAUAUUUAAAAUGUGUGUUGACUUCUAUUUAAAACAAAAAGUAAUUCAGAUGGAGAUUUAUGUGUCUUUAGGGGAGUAUGAAAAUCAAAACACGUAAAAUUGUGUCUAUACAGGUCAGUGAAAGAGCAACUCAGUGCUGCAUGUUUGUGGUUUUGUGUUUUCGCACUUCCUCUGUUAUCUCUCUUCUUACAUCUCAUCUCAUGCGUAUAAAGACAUACUAAGCAAAAUAUACUGCCGAAGAAAGGUGCAUUAACAUGUACUUUAUGUAACAAAAAUGUCCCUUCGAUGCUUGUUGUUGGUCUCCAUCGUUGUGUUCAUCACCACAGAAGCUGUUUCAGAUGGAUAUGUGAUGAAAGCAGUGGGUGAUCGAGUUUCUUUUCGUCCAGACAACUUUGUUCCUCCUGUCACCAGCAUCAUCUGGAAACACAGAAACGCUGGUAAUAUUCCUGUCAAUGUGAUUGAAUGGGUUGAAGGAGAAACUGUAAUCCCGAUUCAGAGAUUCAAAGACAUCACAACUGUUGAUGAGAAGACUGGACAAAUCACUAUCACUAAUCUAAAAGUCGAACAUAGUGGAAUUUAUACCCUUGACAUCAACAGUAAAGAGCAGCAACAGAGAUUCAUCUUGAUUGUUAUGGAAGGGGUCCCCAAACCUGCAAUAAAAAUAAAGUCGAGUGAUAAUCCUGAUGUUGUGUAUUUGAGAUGCGAGUACAGUGAACCGAUCAUCUGGAAGAAUUCUGCUGGAGAAACACUGACGGGAUCGAAAAUCAAUCCGAAAGGAGAGUCCAUCACAGUCAAAAAUGAAGGAAAUCCAGAAAACUUCUACACCUGUACACUGAAGAACACAGUGAGUGAGGAAACCAGUGAUCCGGUCUAUGAGAGAGAUCUGUUUAAAGAUGUAGAUGUGAUGAAAGCAGUGGGUGAUCAAGUUUCUUUUCGUCCAGACAAAUUCAUUCCUCCUGUCACCAGCAUCAUCUGGAAACACAUAAACACUGAUGGAACUGUUACUGUCAAGGCGAUUGAAUGGGAUGAAGGAGAAACUCUAAUCCCGUAUCCGAGAUUCAAAGACAUCACAACUGUUGAUGAGAAGACUGGAAAAAUCACUAUAACUAAUCUAAAAGUCGAACAUAGUGGAGUUUAUACCAUUGACAUCAACAGUAAAGAGCAGGAACAGAGAUUCACAUUGACUGUUAUGGAGCGGGUCCCCAAACCUGUUAUAAAAAUAGAGAAGAGUAAAGAUAACCCUGAUGUUGUGUAUUUAAUAUGUGAGUACAGUGAAACGAUCAUCUGGAAGAAUUCUGCUGGAGAAACACUGACGGGUUCACCAAUCACUCCGAAAGGAGAGUCCAUCACAGUCAAAAACGAAGGGAAUCCAGAAAACUUCUACACCUGUACACUCGAUAACGGCGCAAGUAAAGAAACCAGUGAUCCAGUCUAUGAGAGAGAUCUGUUUGAUGCUUGUUGUUGGUCUCCAUCAUUGUGUUCAUCAGCACAGAAGCUGUUUCAGAUUCAAACAGGAGAUUUGUCAUUUGGAUUGUCAUUGUUUUGAUCUGCAUGGCUUUUAUCCUCCUUUUCCUGUUUAUACCAUCUUUAUACGGUUAUUGUGCUGAUUGCUGUGGGAGACACAAGACGUCCAGAAAAUGACAGUGAUUGACUGAUGCUCAUCAUGAACCUUGUGACUCUUCAAAUGUAAAGAUCUUCUCGACACAUUUGUCUGAUCAUCGGCUCUAAAUCUCAGCUUUACUGAAUCAUCUGGAGCUCUGAACCGUCUGAAUAUUUCUGAAUAUAUGAAUCUAACAUAUGCAAAUACUUUGUUUUCAUAGUGACAAGAUGAGAAUCUCUAUAUAGUCUGUAUUUUUCAGUUUCACUUGCUCUUUCAGUUGCCAUGAAUUCAUUCAAACGAUCAAUGCGAUAUUUUGUCAUAUGAAAGUUUUAUGAAUAUCUCUAUCCUGACCCUUUUAAAGAAUUUAAUUAUGGGAUACAUGAACCUUCUGUAAAAAUGAAAGAGAAGAUAUUAGCAUUUAUUAAUUUUUUUUCUUGUAAUGAUUUGAGUUUCUAUUGUAUUUCUAUAGCUAAUAUUAAUCUUUGCAUUAAGGAUGGUAUUUUUUUUUUUUUUUUUUGGCAAAAUUGUAUUUUCACAAAGGUUUCUUUAAAAAAAAUACCUACUUUUUUAUGCGAAGUAGAACAUUUAAUCAAAUCACUAAGAAUAAUUCAUGAUAAAAUAGGAGAUAUGAUGAAAUCUUUCAUGUACUGUAAAGGUUAGUUUUUUUCUUGUUUUGUUCCUGUUUUUGUCUGAUACUGUUACAUAGUACUAAAAUAAGUGUAUAUAUUUGAUGUAUCUAUAUGCUUUAAACAGAUCGGGUAAAAAUACUGUUGUGCACUGUCAUUUUUC